UACGUAGGGGGCAAGCGUUGUCCGGAUUUAUUGGGCGUAAAGAGCGUGUAGGCGGCCAGACAGGUCCGUUGUGAAAACUCGAGGCUCAACCUCGAGACGCCGAUGGAAACCGUCUGGCUAGAGUCCGGAAGAGGAGAGUGGAAUUCCUGGUGUAGCGGUGAAAUGCGCAGAUAUCAGGAAGAACACCAAUGGCGAAGGCAGCUCGCUGGGACGGUACUGACGCUGAGACGCGAAAGCGUGGGGAGCAAACAGG
rnacentral:rRNA from 1 species